ACGCCCAAUAUUUUUGUCUUAAGUUUCUAAGGAGUCCCAACACUGCACAGUAGCUGUUCAAUACAUUUUGAGUGAAUGAUUAAAAACAAGCUUGGUGUUGAUUUUAUUGGUACAAUUUAUAUUUACAUAUGUAAUGUUUAUAUUAUAUGCUUUUUAUAUAUUUAUAUGUGUGUAUGUAUAUAAUUGGCACCAACGUAGCAUUGCUGUGCUUAAGUGCCUGAGAUGUAUCUCAAAUGAAUAGACCUGAGGAGAGAAGCUUGUGUCAUUAGCUCUGACCCUGCAGCACUAAUCCUGGUUUACCCCUUUAUUUCACUCACCCUGAGCACAUCAAUUAAUUUGGUGAAAGAGCUUACACUUUAAGUGUAAGCUUAACAUCUCACUGAAAUAGUUCAUUCCAAAGAAAGAGCUAAUUCUAACCUCUCACAAGUGCUUGAGCAUUUGCAUAAGUGAAAUUUCACUGUGUGAGUUUCACCCAACACCACCUCUGCUCCAGCUCCUGCUACUCUGCUGCUCAUACUGUGGAACUCCACAGGUGGAGUAGAAGAUCAUCAGAGAGAGUUUUAUUUGCAGUAAAUUUGGUGUGCAACAGGCCAAGCAACGAGGAGUCAAGGUGAGGCAGAAGAACAGCAGAGGGAAGUGGAAGUUGGAUAAAGGGUGAACUGAGUAGGAGCGGAAGCAGGAUAAAGAGGUGGGUGAGCAAGAAGCAAGAUAAGCAGAAGUUGAGCAGCGAAAACAAAAGUGAGAUGGAGUAGUGAGUAAAAGUUUAUGGCUGGCAGGAUCCAGAACAAACCAGUAAAAGGCAUGCAUAUGACAGAGAAAAAGUAGCCUUAAAAUGACCCCGUAUGAUAAUCAGCUCAUUAAAGCUAAUGCAUAUGGACUGCAUAUCAUGGGUGUACUUAAAAUUAUGGGAUGGAGGUGAUGCGGAAGCACACAGGGGCCAAGUAACUAAGCAACCCACCUAUCAAUCAGAAGGCACAUGCUGGGUAGAGAUUAGGCAGCCCCAGGAAGAGGAGAAAAAAGAAAAAAAAAAAAACAUGUAAAAAGACCCAAAGCCCAAAGUUCACCAAACUGACGCUGAUCUCAUUUUGCAGAAGUCAGCCCGUUCUCCCCUCUCUGAGAGUGUUACUGUGCUUAAUAAGUCUCUUGCUGCUUUGCUACAUGUGUGUGUGUCACUUCCAAUUCUUUGUUAAAGACACCAAGAACCUGGGACUUCACAACACCAGCCGGUAACAAAGUCUCCCGGCAAACCCCUGGGUAACCCAAAGCCCAUCAGAGGGAUUCGCGUGCUGGGCUUUCCGCUACGUUAGGCCACGUCUCACUAUGGAGCGAGGAUCAAGAAGGUCCGGGAAGGAGAGAAGCUGCGGGGUCCAGGGAGACUCUUCGGCGGUUGGUCGGAGAGGUUUCAGCGGCCCAAGGAAAAGGGAAGCGUGUGGGAAUCUAUCCGCGUAGAGAUGAGGGGCGCGGCGGAGACAGUCCCACGCAGAGGUAUGCCCAAACACCGAGUUACUUAACCUCCUCAACCACCUUGGCAUCCGCGCCUUCCGUGGGCCCGUCGGUCUUCCGGGAGAGAUUCUGUGUCCCUGGUAUUGUGUGUCAACAGGUGUUAGCCUGAUAGUUAUAUUUUUAAUGAGAGAAAACGAACUACAGAAUUUGCGAGUUUUGCUUUUUUUCUGGUUUUGCUUUAUACCUCUUGGAUUCUCCUUCCAAAGGAUUCCAAUCUGAGGGGCAUUGAGGUGUGACUAUGGUAGACAAGGGGUGGUGAAUUUUCAUCCAAAAAUCUUUGGCGGAUUCCCUUGCUCUCCCGCUCCCCAGUCUAAGAGCAGUUUAAAACAGAAGAUCAGAAACAUUUGGAGAGUGUUUUUUUCUCUGCGUUCUAAUGAUAAACUUGAUUUAUUCAAUUCCAAAAGUUUCCUUAUUCUGAGGUUGUCUUUCCAUAUUUUGAGUAUAAAACCAUGGCCAUACUAUAUGUUGGACCCACGAAGGUUCUUCUCUUCACUUGUUUAUUUGUAAAGUCUCUUUGUAAUCUGAGAAUUUCUUGAGUAAACUGGGAACUGUUACACAUA
rnacentral:lncRNA from 1 species